UACGAAGGGUGCAAGCGUUACUCGGAAUUACUGGGCGUAAAGCGUGCGUAGGUGGUGAGUUAAGUCUGUCGUGAAAGCCCCGGGCUCAACCUGGGAAUGGCGAUGGAUACUGGCUCGCUAGAGUGCGGUAGAGGAGAGUGGAAUUCCUGGUGUAGCGGUGAAAUGCGCAGAUAUCAGGAGGAACACCGAUUGCGAAGGCAGCUCGCUGGGACGUUACUGACGCUGAGACGCGAAAGCGUGGGGAGCAAACAGG
rnacentral:rRNA from 1 species